GCGGGAGUAGCUCAGUUGGUAGAGCGCUAGCCUUCCAAGCUGGAUGUCGCGGGUUCGAGUCCCGUCUCCCGCU
rnacentral:tRNA from 1 species